rnacentral:sRNA from 23 species
ACUAAGGCUUUCUAGUAUUCCCCCCUUAUGUUGAUGCGGACCUUUCAGGUGCGCAUUUUUUUAU